ACCUACGGGAGGCAGCAGUCGGGAAUAUUGCGCAAUGGAGGAAACUCUGACACAGUGACGCCGCGUGCAGGAAGAAGGUUUUCGGAUUGUAAACUGCUUUAGACAGGGAAGAAAAAAGACAGUACCUGUAGAAUAAGCUCCGGCUAACUACGUGCCAGCAGCCGCGGUAAUACGUAGGGAGCAAGCGUUAUCCGGAUUUACUGGGUGUAAAGGGCGAGUAGGCGGGAUUGCAAGUCAGAUGUGAAAACUAUGGGCUCAACCGAUAGAGUGCAUUUGAAACUGCAGGUCUUGAGUGAUGGAGAGGG
rnacentral:rRNA from 1 species